rnacentral:rRNA from 1 species
AGAACGAACGCUGGCGGCAUGCCUAAUACAUGCAAGUCGAACGAACUCUUCGGAGUUAGUGGCGCACGGGUGCGUAACGCGUGGGAAUCUGCCCCUUGGUUCGGAAUAACAGUUGGAAACGACUGCUAAUACCGGAUGAUGACGAAAGUCCAAAGAUUUAUCGCCAAGGGAUGAGCCCGCGUAGGAUUAGCUAGUUGGUGAGGUAAAGGCUCACCAAGGCAACGAUCCUUAGCUGGUCUGAGAGGAUGAUCAGCCACACUGGGACUGAGACACGGCCCAGACUCCUACGGGAGGCAGCAGUAGGGAAUAUUGGACAAUGGGCGAAAGCCUGAUCAACAAAUGCCGCGUGAGUGAUGAAGGCCUUAGGGUUGUAAAGCUCUUUUACCCGAGAUGAUAAUGACAGUAUCGGGAGAAUAAGCCCCGGCUAAACUCCGUGCCAAGCAGCCGAC